rnacentral:rRNA from 1 species
UGAGGAAUUUUCUGCAAUGGGCGAAAGCCUGACAGAGCAAUACCGCGUGAGGGAUGAAGGCCUAUGGGUUGUAAACCUCUUUUCUCAAGGAGGAAGAUAUGACGUUACUUGAGGAAUAAGCAUCGGCUAACCCUGUGCCAGCAGCCGCGGUAAUACAGGGGAUGCAAGUGUUAUCCGGAAUCAUUGGGCGUAAAGCGUCUGCAGGUUGACUUUUAAGUCUUUUGUUAAAGCUCUGGGCUUAACCUAGAAUAUGCAAAGGAAACUAUUUGUCUUGAGUAUGGUAGAGGUAAAGGGAAUUUCCAGUGGAGCGGUGAAAUGCUUAGAUAUUGGAAAGAACACCAACAGCGAAGGCACUUUACUGGGCCAGUACUGACACUGAGAGACGAAAGCUAGGGGAGCAAACGGGAUUAGAUACCCCCGUAGUCCCUGAGCGGGCUGGCAAGGCGCAU